GGAUAAGAAGGUGAUCUGGCUGUGUCAUCUGUCACCCCAUUGAUCACCGGGCUUGAUUUGGCUGGUCUGGCUGUCUAGGUGGGGGUGCCCUUCCUCCCUCACCAUGCCAUGCGCAUCCCUCCCAAAGCUGCGUACUCAGAGAAGGACCACUCCCUCGGUCAAGGUCAUAUGAGUAGCUACACUUCCCUGCCAGAACCUCCAAACAAGCUCUGAAAAUGCCAUCCAUCUCUUUGCUAGAACUUUUAAAAUAAUUUGACAUUUCAAGGACUUUUAGGACAGAUUUCUU
rnacentral:snRNA from 1 species